rnacentral:rRNA from 1 species
UGGGGAAUAUUGCACAAUGGGCGCAAGCCUGAUGCAGCCAUGCCGCGUGUAUGAAGAAGGCCUUCGGGUUGUAAAGUACUUUCAGCGGGGAGGAAGGGAGUAAAGUUAAUACCUUUGCUCAUUGACGUUACCCGCAGAAGAAGCACCGGCUAACUCCGUGCCAGCAGCCGCGGUAAUACGGAGGGCGCAAGCGUUAAUCGGAAUUACUGGGCGUAAAGCGCACGCAGGCGGUUUGUUAAGUCAGAUGUGAAAUCCCCGGGCUCAACCUGGGAAAUGCAUCUGAUACUGGCAAGCUUGAGUCUCGUAGAGGGGGGUAGAAUUCCAGGUGUAGCGGUGAAAUGCGUAGAGAUCUGGAGGAAUACCGGUGGCGAAGGCGGCCCCCUGGACGAAGACUGACGCUCAGGUGCGAAAGCGUGGGGAGCAAACAGG